rnacentral:rRNA from 1 species
AGAAUCAACGCUGGCGGCGUGCCUAACACAUGCAAGUCGAACGAGAAAGUGGAGCAAUCCACGAGUAAAGUGGCGCACGGGUGAGUAACGCGUGACUAACCUACCCUUGAGUGGGGGAUAACCUAGAGAAAUCUGGGCUAAUACCGCAUAAUACCUUCGGGUCAAAGGAGCAAUUCGCUUAAGGAGGGGGUCGCGGCCGAUUAGUUAGUUGGCGGGGUAAUGGCCCACCAAGACUAUGAUCGGUA